rnacentral:rRNA from 1 species
GGGGGGGGGGGGGGGGGGGGGGGGGGGGGGGGGGGCGGGGGGGGGCGGAGGAGGGGGGUGCUGGUGCGGGUGGGGGGUGGGGGACGGGGGAGGAAGACAUCGGGAUCUACUGUUUCGGGGGGGAUAACGUAGGGAAACUUACGCUAAUACCGCAUACGACCUACGGGUGAAAGCAGGGGAUCUUCGGACCUUGCGCGAUUGAAUGAGCCGAUGUCGGAUUAGCUAGUUGGCGGGGUAACGGCCCACAAAGGCGGCGAUCCGUAGCUGGUCUGAGAGGAUGAUCGGCCACACUGGAAGUGAGACACGGUCCAGACUCCUACGGGAAGCAGCAGGGGGGAAUAUUGGACAAUGGGCGCAAGCCUUGUCCAGCCAGACCACGUGAGUGAAGAAGGCCGCCGGGUUGUAAAGCCCUUUUGUUGGGAAAGAAAAGCAGCAGGUUAAGACCCCGCUAGUCUGACGGUACCCAAAGAAUAAGCACCGGCGAACUUCGUG